UGGGGAAUAUUGCACAAUGGAGGGAACUCUGAUGCAGCGACGCCGCGUGAACGAAGAAGGCUUUCGAGUCGUAAAGUUCUUUUAUAUGGGAAGAUAAUGACGGUACCAUAAGAAAAAGCCCCGGCUAACUACGUGCCAGCAGCCGCGGUAAUACGUAUGGGGCGAGCGUUGUCCGGAAUUAUUGGGCGUAAAGGGUACGUAGGCGGUCUAUUAAGUCAGGUGUGAAAGCGUGAGGCUUAACCUCAUUAAGCACUUGAAACUGAUAGACUUGAGUGAAGGAGAGGAAAGUGGAAUUCCUAGUGUAGCGAUGAAAUGCGUAGAUAUUAGGAGGAAUACCGGUGGCGAAGGCGACUUUCUGGACUUUUACUGACGCUCAGGUACGAAAGCGUGGGGAGCAAACAGG
rnacentral:rRNA from 1 species